AACUUGAGAUUGGCGUUCUGGAUGCAGUAGAACAGGGUUUCGCAGGUGUAGAGAUUGCCUUGCUUGGAGCGAUAAGCAGUCUUUACAGAGCAAGGGAAGUUAUAAUCGGUACCAAAACGGAACUCGUCAUUGACUCGGACGAUCUUAUCCACAUCGCCGUGGGGAGCGGUGAGAGGAUCCAUUAGAAGAAAGUUGGGAAUUUUGACAAUGGAGUAUAGGCUCACACUUAAAGAGCGAAAUUGAGAAAAAAAAAAAAAAAAAAAA
rnacentral:misc_RNA from 1 species